GCAGUUUGGAUCCAACACUAAAGGCUGGGAUUUAUUAAACAAUCUUACAAUUUUAUGCUAGAUUCCAAAGAAACUUCAAUUUCAAUAAAAUAUUUUGGACAAAAGAGUCUUUUGUCAAUCUAAAUGUUUGGAUCUUGGCUUUUAUUACUGCUGGAGAAAAAAACUACAACUACAGGUCAGAAGCUGCAACGGUUCCAAACAGUUACUGCAUGGUGAUGCUCAGGACUACAACCUGAACUCUGGGCACGCUCACAUAAAUGGCCUGCACUUGUAAAGCGGUUCAUCAAUUCCCCAGAGACCCCAAAGCGCUUUACACCACAAUCAGUCAUCCACCCAUUCACACACUGACAGUGGUAAGCUAGCAUUGUAGCCACAGCUGCCCUUAGGUAGACUAUCAGAGGUGAGACUGCCAUACAAUCUGCACCACUGGGCCCUCUGACCACCAUCAGCAGGCAAGGAGGGUGAAGUGUCUUGCUUAAAGACAUAACGACAGAGACAGACAGAGCGGGGUAUGAACCAGCAACAAUCGGUUACAGGACAAACCUCUACCACUGUGGCCACAAAGAAAGAAGUGUACAUGGACAAGAUCUCAAGGCGAAGUCAUGGAGAGGCCUGUGCCUGGUUCGGGAUCCUCAGGGUCUCCCCUUCGCUUUUUCGCAGAUGAUGUGAUUCUGUUGGCGUCUGUUUGCAAUCAAGUGUGUAAUAGACCUGGUAAUCUAUGGUGGAAAUGUGCCUAAACAAUAGGUGUUUUGUUUCCCUUCCUGCCCCUGGAACCCCUGCUGGUUCAACACAAGAACAUUCGUUGCAGAGGAGUUGAGAUGUCUGUGUGUAAUACGUCUGAUGCUGAAAAACCUGUCUCCCUUA